UACGGAGGGGGCUAGCGUUGUUCGGAAUUACUGGGCGUAAAGCGCACGUAGGCGGAUAUUUAAGUCAGGGGUGAAAUCCCGGGGCUCAACCCCGGAACUGCCUUUGAUACUGGGUAUCUGGAGGUCGAGAGAGGCGAGUGGAAUUCCGAGUGUAGAGGUGAAAUUCGUAGAUAUUCGGAAGAACACCAGUGGCGAAGGCGGCCAACUGGUCCACUACUGACGCUGAGGUGCGAAAGCGUGGGGAGCAAACAGG
rnacentral:rRNA from 1 species